GAUGAAGAACGUAGCGAAAUGCGAUACGUAAUGUGAAUUGCAGAAUUCAGUGAAUCAUCGAGUCUUUGAACGCACAUUGCGCCCCCUGGUAUUCCGGGGGGCAUGCCUGUCCGAGCGUCAUUGCUGCCCUCAAGCACGGCUUGUGUGUUGGGCCUCCGUCCUCCUCCCGGGGGACGGGCCCGAAAGGCAGCGGCGGCACCGCGUCCGGUCCUCGAGCGUAUGGGGCUUCGUCACCCGCUCUUGUAGGCCCGGCCGGCGCUUGCCGACACAUCAAUCUUUUUUCCAGGUUGACCUCGGAUCAGGUAGGGAUACCCGCUGAACUUAAGCAUACAUUAAGCGGAGGA
rnacentral:misc_RNA from 1 species